ensembl:lncRNA novel transcript
UUUGCAUUGAGAGCCUAGGCUCAACUUUCCUAGGCUCCCUGGUACAGCCCUCCCUUUCCACCCCUCAGGCUGUUUCCCUCCCUGUUUUCCUCAGAAGAAGAGUUCCAAACAAAAGAUCUACUACCCUGAGAAGCGGUGAAGUGCUCCUGGGGCCCACCAAGGCCACACAAGUCAAGGAGUGGAUGGCCUUGCCCCAGCUAUGGCUCAGAUCACCUUUGCAGGAUGACAUCUUGUUGGGAGAUGGUCAUCAGAGACAGGGCCAUGGAAGACGCUGUCAGGAGGAGGCACAGAGGAAAGGCUAUGGGAGCACAAAGCAAGAAAGUGGCCUUCUGCAAGCCAGGAAGAGAGGCCUCCCCAGAAACCAACUCUACCAGCACAUUGAUCUUGGACUUUUGGCCUCUAGAACAUUGAGAAAAUAAAAGUCUGCUGUUAAACCACC